UGUGAAGGGAUGGUAUAGAUCUCUCCCAGAUUUUACACACACAGAGAUCUCUGACCAAUGACAUUAGCCCACUAGAAAGUGCCUGCAGCACCUCUCCAAGGUGAACUUUUUGAAACUCAAUCUGAUGUGCUCUGCACUGACUUACGUAGGUCUUGCAGUGCUCCUCACCUCUCAGAUUUCAUUCUCUGUGCCCUGCAAGCAUCAACAUCCAGAUGAAGUUUUCCCUCCAGCUUGAUCAUUCCAGGAAAUUUUACCCUUUCCUUCUGGAGUGAGGUUAAUGGCUGGUGAAGGCCUUCUACAGCUCGCCAAUGAGCUCAGCAUUUGCAG